rnacentral:rRNA from 1 species
CCUACGGGAGGCAGCAGUAGGGAAUUUUCGUCAAUGGGCGAGAGUCUGAACCAGCCAAGUAGCGUGAAGGAUGAAUGCCCUAUGGGUUGUAAACUUCUUUUAUAUGGGAAUAAAAUGUUCCACGUGUGGGUUUUUGUAUGUACCAUAUGAAUAAGGAUCGGCUAACUCCGUGCCAGCAGCCGCGGUAAUACGGAGGAUCCGAGCGUUAUCCGGAUUUAUUGGGUUUAAAGGGUGCGUAGGUGGAUUGUUAAGUCAGUUGUGAAAGGUUGCGGCUCAACCGUAAAAUUGCCGUUGAAACUGGCAGUCUUGAGUACAGUAGAGGUAGGCGGAAUUCGUGGUGUAGCGGUGAAAUGCUUAGAUAUCACGAAGAACUCCGAUUGCGAAGGCAGCUCACUGGACUGCAACUGACACUGAGGCUCGAAAGUGUGGGUAUCAAACAGGAUUAGAUACCCUUGUAGUC